AGAACGAACGCUGGCGGCAUGCCUAAUACAUGCAAGUCGAACGAACUCUUCGGAGUUAGUGGCGCACGGGUGCGUAACGCGUGGGAAUCUGCCCUUGGGUUCGGAAUAACAGUUGGAAACGACUGCUAAUACCGGAUGAUGACGAAAGUCCAAAGAUUUAUCGCCCAGGGAUGAGCCCGCGUAGGAUUAGCUAGUUGGCGAGGUAAAGGCUCACCAAGGCGACGAUCCUUAGCUGGUCUGAGAGGAUGAUCGAGCCAACACUGGGAC
rnacentral:rRNA from 1 species